GACGAACGCUGGCGGCGUGCUUAACACAUGCAAGUCGAACGGAAAGGCCCUGCUUUUGUGGGGUGCUCGAGUGGCGAACGGGUGAGUAACACGUGAGUAACCUGCCCUUGACUUUGGGAUAACUUCAGGAAACUGGGGCUAAUACCGGAUAGGAGCUCCUGCUGCAUGGUGUGGGUUGGAAAGUUUCGGCGGUUGGGGAUGGACUCGCGGCUUAUCAGCUUGUUGGUGGGGUAGUGGCUUACCAAGGCUUUGACGGGUAGCCGGCCUGAGAGGGGGACCGGGCACAAUGGGACUGAGAUACGGCCCAGACUCCUACGGGAGGCAGCAGUGGGGAAUAUUGCACAAUGGGCGGAAGCCUGAUGCAGAAACGCCGCGUGCGGGAUGACGGCCUUCGGGUUGUAAACCGCUUUCGCCUGUGACGAAGCGUGAGUGACGGUAAUGGGUAAAGAAGCACCGGCUAACUACGUG
rnacentral:rRNA from 1 species